UUUUGAAUUGUUCUGUUCCCGCGUCUUGGCGUCCAUUCACCAUUCACGCCGAGGAAACCACUCAUAUGAAAACACGCCAAGGAAAUCGCGCCAGAGAAAACAAAAUUUCGAAUAAACUGCCAUUUCGACUUAUUGAUCUUGUGAGAGGAGAAAAGUAGCGCGUGGCAUCAUGGGUAGUAAAUCGCUUGGGAGCUGAAAUCGCAUGAAAUCUUUGCUUCGCUAUAGACGCACGAGUUGUUGCCGAAACGCAAAAAAAAAACGCGGGCGACUAAUCUCACCGUCGUCUGCCCUAAAACCCUGGGCUGAGAAUCUGCACCAAACAAUGUGGCCGACAGCAUAAAAUAAAGUGACAUAGCCAAGCGGGUUUGCUGCAACUUAUUGACUUUAUAUGAAUUCACCUGGAAGGGUGAUAUAUAAAAGGGAAUGUAAACCCCAAAAUAAAAUAUUUUGCACUUGGAAGAAAAUGUCAUUGAUUUAAUAAAAAACAAAAUCAGAUGGGGUUUCCCUUCUGCCAGAGCUGCUGUGGGAUUGGGAUGGGGAUCCUCCGAGACUCCUUGCCUGGAGCACAGACUGUACCCCUGUCCUGGGGCACCCAGAUACCUUAGGAGAUCCUUCAGGUCUGAAAUACAGGACUGCUUCGUGGAAACCGGGACCAUUAGGAGGUGUGAAAAACAGAUGGAGCAAACUUCACCUACACUCGUGGUUGAGAUGGCUUACCAUGACCCAACAUUGCAUUCCAUUUCAUCAACUGGGGCCAACACUGACUGCCAAACAUCAUGGAGGAAAACCAAGGUUUAAAAAGAGAACAUAAAUAAUGAGAGUUCAUGGCAGAACAAGGGGAAGAAAGAGACAAUUAGAAGAGCCUCUGCCUGAUUAAACUGAUGUGAGACUCUCUGGAACAGGCUGUCCUUACGCAACUGGCACAUCAGAGGGCGAAUGAUCAACUGAGACAUUCUUGGCAAUUUACUGAUUGCUGUUCUUCUGAGGUUAUAAACGGGCUAAAUGUGCCGGUACCACAUGUACGGUUAGAUCUGGCUCCCAAGAGCAGGAAUGAAUCACACACCAAAACAGCGCACCAAGAGGGGCUCCUCCUUCUAAAUUUAUAUUGUUUUUCAUUACUUCCCUCUGAGUCCCAAUUAUAAUAAAGUCACAUACGUGCCUCCCAGGUUUAAAAACAAUAUCUGUUUUUUACUUACAAUGAAAAUAAAGUUAUGGGCUGUUUUGGCCUUUCUAAUAAAGGGGAACCUCUCAUGAAAACCGAACUGCAUUGU